UCCCUGGUGGCUCAGAUGGUAAAGAAUCUGCUUGCAAUGCAGGAGACCUGGGUUCAAUCCCUGGAUUGGGAA
rnacentral:tRNA from 1 species